GAUGAAGAACGCAGUGAAAUGCGAUAAGUAAUGUGAAUUGCAGAAUUCAGUGAAUCAUCGAAUCUUUGAACGCACAUUGCGCCCUCUGGUAUUCCGGGGGGCAUGCCUGUUCGAGCGUCAUUACAACCCUCAAGCUUUGCUUGGUAUUGGACAUUGCCAGUUUCUGGCAGGUCUUAAAAUCAGUGGCGGUGCCAUUUGGCUUCAAGCGUAGUAAUUCUUCUCGCUUUGGAGAUCCAAGUGGUUACUUGCCAAUAACCCCCAAUUUUUUCAGGUUGACCUCGGAUCAGGUAGGGAUACCCGCUGAACUUAAGCAUAUAAUAAGCGGAGGA
rnacentral:misc_RNA from 1 species